rnacentral:rRNA from 1 species
CCUACGGGUGGCAGCAGUGAGGAAUAUUGGUCAAUGGCCGUAAGGCUGAACCAGCCACGCCGCGUGAAGGAAGAAGGAUCUCUGGUUUGUAAACUUCUUUUAUAGGGGAAUAAAGGUAUCCUCGUGUGGAUAUUUGCAUGUACCCUACGAAUAAGCAUCGGCUAACCUCGUGCCAGCAGCCGCGGUAAUACGGAGGAUGCGAGCGUUACCCGGAUUUAUUGGGUUGAAAGGGUGCGUAGGUUGUUUUUUAAGUCAGCGGUGAAAGUUUGUGGCUCAACCAGAAAAUUGCCGUUGAAACUGGAAGACUUGAGUGUGUUUGAGGUAAGCGGAAUGCGUGGUGUAGCGGUGAAAUGCGUAGAUAUCACGCAGAACUCCGGUGGCGAAGGCAGCUUACUAGGCCAUAACUGACACUGAGGCGCGAAAGCGUGGGGAUCAAACAGGAUUAGAUACCCGGGUAGUC